rnacentral:rRNA from 1 species
AUGGAUGAGGUCACAAGGGGUAUACAAGGAGAUAUCCCAUGGUGUAUGCUCUUUGCGGAUGAUGUGGUGCUAGUUGACGAUAGUCGGACGGGGGUAAAUAGGAAGUUAGAGUUAUGGAGACAAACCUUGGAAUCGAAAGGGUUUAGGCUUAGUAGAACUAAAACCGAGUACAUGAUGUGCGGUUUCAGUACUACUAGCUGUGAGGAGGAGGUUAGCCUUGAUGGCCAGGUGGUACCUCGGAAGGACACCUUUCGGUAUUUGGGUCAAUGUUGCAGGAGGAUGGGGGUAUUGAUGAAGAUGUGA